AAGUGAAAACUGUAUGUGUUUUAUGUGCAGCUAAAGACUUGGUUAAUGCUUUAAUUGGAAUACAAUUGAAAUUGCGGAACAAAAUGUGGAUAAAAGAACAUUGGAUAUGCUACCUGAUUGGCGUCUUCUGCUGGCUUGAUAAGGCCACCAUUGGAGCGAUACUCGACUCGCGCUGCUACCUGGAGGGCGGCGGUUCGGCGGAGAGCUUCCUGGCCACCGAAGAUCUGGCGGUGGGCUCCAUCAUUGGCAAGCUGCGCAUCAAUGGCGAUCCCAAUGCGGAGACAGGCGACAUCAGUCUGUCGCUAAGGGAGAAGGUUGCGCCGGUGGAGAUUCUGGCAGGCAGCAAGGAUCUGGCUCUGUCUGUGGAGCUGGACAAGGAGGGUGUGCGAGGACCCUCUUCGAUUUAUGUGAAUGUUAUAUGCAUAAGGCGACACUCAACGGAUCCGAGCUUCGUCAUUCCCGUCAAUGUGCGCGUGACGGACGUCAAUGAUAAUGCUCCCCAGUGGAUUGGCACACCCUACACGCUGACCCUGUCGGAGGUGACGGUCCCUGGAACGAGGAUACUGCAGGGCGCCCGUGCGGAGGAUGCCGAUCAGCCGGGUCCCUUCUCCACGGUGGAGUAUCAGGUGCUGCCCGGACCCUAUGCGGAGUUUGUGCAGUUCCUCAAUCCCCUCGAGGGCACACUGGUGCUGAAGAAGGCGCUGGACUACGAGCAGCUGCAGAAUUUCACGGUGAAGCUGCGCGCCCAGGAUCAGGGUACGCCCGCGCGCCACUCGGACACGCUGCUGCGCGUGGUGAUCACCGAUGCGGAUGAUCAGAAUCCCAAGUUCCAGCGGGAAUCGUACAGCGCCGAGCUGCCCAAUGACGGUCGUCCGGGGGAGCUGCGCAUGCGCCCCGAGCCUCUGAAGGCAGUGGAUCAGGACGAGGGAAUCUGUGCGCCGAUCCAGUACACCAUUGUCCAGUCGCAGGAUGCCAAGUACUUCCGCAUUCAUCCGCACAACGGACAGAUCACCCUGCUGACGCCCAUUGGCUAUGGGGAGAUUGCACACGGAGCCACGCUGGUGGUGAAGGCCACGCAGAUAGACAAUCCCGAUCGCUAUGCACUGACCACCGUCCAGCUGACGCGUCCCGGCAGCCACAGCGAUCUCAGCACACUCUCCUUUGUCCAGAAGCGUUUCGUGAUGCGCAUACGCGAGGACACGGCGGUGGGCAAUCGCAUCCUGGCGCUGCCCACCAAUAAGCCGGGCAAACACCUGAAGUACACCAUUGCGGAUCCCGUCAACUCGCAGUUCUUCAGCGUGGGCUCGCUGGGGGAGCUGGUGCUGGCCAAGCCGCUGGACUACGAGAAGAUGACGAAGCACGAGUUCCAGGUGCAGGCCACCGACGGCAUGACCAACAGCACAGCGGAGCUGACCCUCGAGGUGAUCGAUGUCAACGAUUGGGAGCCGCGUUUCCGGGAGACCCAUUACGAGUUCAUGGUGCCCAAAAGCCAGUCGCUGCAGUCGCGAACGGACACCUUUGAGGGUGUGCUCAUUGGCAAGGUGGAGGCGGCUGAUGGGGAUCGCAAUGACAAGCUGGAGCUGUCGCUGCGCGGGCAGCAUGCGGGGCUCUUCGAGAUCGAUGCCACGGGCAACAUCUACAUGCGGCCGGAGCAGCUUCAGGGCCUGAACGAGUCGACGGUGCAUCUGAUAGCCAUUGCCACGGACACGGGUGUGCCGCCCAGGAGCACCUCCGUGCCGGUGAGCGUCACCAUGGAGGGCCUGACGCUCGCGCAGUCCGGCUGGAACAGCAAUAUGCUGGGCAUGUUCGCCAUGAUCGUGGGCCUCUUCCUGAUGAUCAUCAUGGCCCUCAGCUGCUACAUUGUGCGCUCCAAGAAGCAGGGCAAGAGCAGCGCCAGCGCCCUGGGCAUCGGUCGGAACAGAGUCCACAGCCAGGCGCACAGCAGCGUCUCGUCCGCCAAUCUGGUGACGCACGAGAAGCUGGCGGGUAAUGGCAACGGGGCCAGCGUGACCAGCGGCGGUGUCUCGGUGCUGCACAUGAAGCACGGCGGCAACAUCACCAUGGCCAAUCCCAUGAACAACGGUCUGCACCAUGUGGCCAGUGGCGCCAGCAGCAGCAUGGCUCUGGGCAGCUCUGCCGCACUCCUGGAGCGGGAACGGGAGCGCGAAAGGGAACGCCAGCGGGAGAGCUAUGCAGCCACAGUUCGCAGCAUCGUGUCGCGCGCCUCGGCCAAUGGCCAGCUGUACGAGGAGGAUGAGAUCGAGCACGACUCGCUGCAGACGUCAACGACGACGCCGGAAAACAACAAUCGAAAAGUGGCAGCCCCAGGAGCUCCAGCUGUAGGUGUAGGAGGUGUGACGACCAUUACCACCAGCAGCUCUGCGAAUGCGGGUGGCCAAUCGAAUCUGCUGUCUGCCACCGAUGCCAUGGGCUCCUCUGAGAACAAUCUGACGGUCUACUUCUAGAAGCUGAAGGAGGAGUUUGUAAAUAUUGCUGCUAAGUCAGUUUAGGUUUAGGAUUAGGGCACAUCCCCCCAUCCAUCCCCCCAGCACUGUUUAUGUACAUUGAGUAGACCAAAUAUAGAGUUGUAAAGAGAACCUCCCGUCCCUGCCCCUGCACACACACACACACACAUGUACUUAGGCUAAGUCCAAGCGAUUUCCAAUGUAAAGUUGUUGCUUCCCACCCGUAACAGAGAGAGCG